rnacentral:rRNA from 1 species
CGCGUUGCGGGGCGAAGCCUGUCCGCCUGCCGCGUGUGUGAAGAAGGUCUUCGGAUUGUAAAGCACUUUAAGUUGGGAGGAAGGGCAUUAACCUAAUACGUUAGUGUUUUGACGUUACCGACAGAAUAAGCACCGGCUAACUCUGUGCCAGCAGCCGCGGUAAUACAGAGGGUGCAAGCGUUAAUCGGAAUUACUGGGCGUAAAGCGCGCGUAGGUGGUUUGUUAAGUUGGAUGUGAAAUCCCCGGGCUCAACCUGGGAACUGCAUUCAAAACUGACUGACUAGAGUAUGGUAGAGGGUGGUGGAAUUUCCUGUGUAGCGGGGGGAGUGGGGGAGAUAUAGGAAGGAACACCAGUGGCGAAGGCGACCACCUGGACUAAUACUGACACUGAGGUGCGAAAG